UUUAGUAUUUUGUACUGAUAACUGAAAUGCAUAAUAUAUUUUUUGCUGUGUAAAUUUUAGCUAAAUGUAUAUGUAUAGUGAAAUAACUGUUUUUGUCUUUUCACUUUUAGGUUAUUAGUAAACCAAAUUAAGAAAAGGAAAGAUGAAGGAUGGAAGACUUAUUCAAGUCAAGAUCUGUAACUGGGAAUAAAGUGGAAUGAUAAUCAAUUGCAGGUCUAAUGCGGAAUAUGUCUUCAAAAGGAUUCUCCAGGCUUCAUUAUUUGAUGAUUACUUUAAAAAACAGUUGGACCGGCAGAAAUGGCAGGAAUAUAUUCGGCUAUGGAUUUUAAAACAAUAUUCUAUCUAGAAACAUCCGUUCAAGUACUGCAGUGUGUAUAAUAUGAUCCCUUGUCUACCCCUCGUCAAAAGAAACCCGUGAGUCAGACAGUGGAUUCCAGGCUGAACCAGUGGUCCUAAGUGUUCACACCCUAAAAAGAAGAUCCCGAAUGGCAUUCCAGGGAAUCGGUGAGGGUUCUUGAGACGGUCCGUCUCGUUGCGAGUGAUGUGGUGAACACCACUAACCAAGCACUCGGAGCCGGUGACGUAUUACUCACCGUCGCCCCGUCCGCUUGGAAGGUAGUCACACGCCUUCUGCGUGACGUCCUACUCACGACCGCCACCAGGAUGGAGGAAGCUAGGCAGCGGAACGCACCUGACGUUUUCCGGCUUGGUUCCAGCGGCUGGUAUCAUGACCUAUUGCUACUUGUGUGGUGUUGGCACAGAAUGUCAGUGUAUAUAAUGUUUGUUAAUAUGUUUGAACAUAUUAAAUUAGUGUUUUACUAAAA
rnacentral:misc_RNA from 1 species